UACGUAGGAGGCGAGCGUUGUCCGGAAUUACUGGGUGUAAAGCGCGUGUAGGCGGCCUGCCAAGUCUGCUGUGAAAGCGCCUGGCUUAACCGGGCGAGGUCGGUGGAAACUGGCGGGCUGGAGGCCGGUAGAGGGGGGUGGAAUUCCCGGUGUAGUGGUGAAAUGCGUAGAGAUCGGGAGGAACACCAGUGGCGAAGGCGGCCCCCUGGGCCGCGCCUGACGCUGAGACGCGAAAGCGCGGGGAGCGAACGGG
rnacentral:rRNA from 1 species